UUUCUUAUGGAGAGUUUGAUCCUGGCUCAGGACGAACGCUUGCGGCGUGCCUAAGAAAUGCAAGUCGAGCGAGGUUAGGACUUCGGUCCGAAGCCUAGCGGCGAACGGUCGCGUAACACGUAAGCAACCUGCCCUGGAGUGGGGUAUAGCCCGCCGAAAGGCGGAUUAAUACCGCAUGUGGAUGCUUUCUCGCAUGUGAUUGCAUCUAAAGCAGCAAUGCGCUCCAGGAUGGGCUUGCGGCCUAUCAGCUAGUUGGUGGGGUAACGGCUCACCAAGGCGACGACGGGUAGCUGGUCUGAGAGGAUGGUCAGCCGGACUGGGA
rnacentral:rRNA from 1 species